CCUACGUGAGGCUGCAGUGAGGAAUAUUGGUCAAUGGUCGGGAGACUGAACCAUCCAAGCCGCGUGAGGGAUGAAGGUACAGAGUAUCGUAAACCUCUUUUGUCAGGGAACAAAGGCGGGGACGUGUCCCCGGAUGAGUGUACCUGAAGAAAAAGCAUCGGCUAACUCCGUGCCAGCAGCCGCGGUAAUACGGAGGAGGCGAGCGUUAUCCGGAUGUAUUGGGUUUAAAGGGUGUGCAGGCGGUCUGUUAAGUCAGCGGUCAAAGCCCGGGGCUCAACCCCGGCCCGCCGUUGAAACUGGCAGUCUCGAGUUGGAGAGAAGUAUGCGGAAUGCGCGGUGUAGCGGUGAAAUGCAUAGAUAUCGCGCAGAACUCCGAUUGCGAAGGCAGCAUGCCGGCUCCACACUGACGCUGAGGCACGAAAGCGUGGGUAUCGAACAGGAUUAGAUACCCUAGUAGUC
rnacentral:rRNA from 1 species